rnacentral:rRNA from 1 species
AUUGAACGCUGGCGGCGUGCUUAACACAUGCAAGUCGAUCGGUAACAGGUGUAGCAAUACAUGCUGACGAGAGGCGGACGGGUGAGUAAUGCUUGGGAAUCUGCCUAUUAGUGGGGGACAACCCGGGAAACGUCGGGCUAAUACCGCAUACGCUCUACGGAGGAAAGCCGGGGACCGCAAGGCCUGGCGCUAAUAGAUGAGCCCAAGUCGGAUUAGCUAGUUGGUAGGGUAACGGCCUACCAAGGCGACAAUCCGUAGCUGGUCUGAGAGGACGACCAGCCACACCGGAACUGAGACACGGUCCGGACUCCUACGGGAGGCAGCAGUGGGGAAUAUUAGGACAAUGGGGGCAACCCUGAUCCAGCGACGCCGCGUGGGUGAAGAAGGCCUGCGGGUUGUAAAG